rnacentral:tmRNA from 1 species
GGGGGCGAUCAGGUUUCGACGUGGUCGGUACUCCGGCAGAGCUGCAAGCCGAGGUCCCCGGUCGGCCUCGUUAAUCAACCGGGAACAUGUAAGUGCGGAUCGUGAACUCGCACUCGCUGCCUAACUGAGUUAGGCCAGCGCGUCGCACCGGCCUCGGCCCGUGGGUCGGAUACGCGGCGUCAGAAACGGGCUUACCGCCGAGGGAGAGCCACUCGCCCGAGGUGGGACACCGAAGGAGGGCUAGCCCGUCGAUUGGCCGCCUGCGAGCCGGCCGGCGGGCGAAUCUGAAUCGCAGGAGAAGCUUGUGGAGGCUCUGACCGGUGCGUCCGCGGACGCGGGUUCGAUUCCCGCCGCCUCCAUCA